AAUAGGCUCUGUCAUAGAUAGUCGACUCUGUUUGUGUCAGUUUUAUAUUAGCAUGUUGGUUUGCCUUGUGAUGGAUUAUGGCGAAGUAAACUCCAUAUGGAUGAAUUGCAAAUUUAAUUAGUUAGCAUUGCUUGGCAGUGUUGUGGAUUAAAUUUUCUUUGCAGGACAUUGAGCAAUUUAAUUUUAUCGAGUUAAAUCGUUUGGUUUGUUCAUUUUAUGC
rnacentral:lncRNA from 1 species